CAGCACCUCAAGUGGUCGGGAUAAUUAUUGGGCUUAAAGUGUCCGUAGCCGGUUUAGUAAGUUCCUGGUAAAAUCGGGUAGCUUAACUAUCUAUAUGCUAGGAAUACUACUAUACUAGAGGGCGGGAGAGGUCUGAGGUACUACAGGGGUAGGGGUGAAAUCUUAUAAUCCUUGUAGGACCACCAGUGGCGAAGGCGUCAGACUGGAACGCGCCUGACGGUGAGGGACGAAAGCCAGGGGAGCGAACCGGAUUAGAUACCCGAGUAGUCC
rnacentral:rRNA from 1 species